UACGUAGGGAGCAAGCGUUGUUCGGAAUUACUGGGCGUAAAGCGCGCGCAGGCGGAUGAUGCAAGUCUGGAGUGAAAUCUCGCCGCUCAACGGCGAGGCUGCUUUGGAUACUGUACGUCUGGGGACUGGUAGAGGCUGGUAGAAUUCCCGGUGUAGCGGUGGAAUGCGUAGAUAUCGGGAGGAACACCAGUGGCGAAGGCGGCUCACUGGACCGGUACUGACGCUGAGGCGCGAAAGCGUGGGGAGCAAACAGG
rnacentral:rRNA from 1 species